rnacentral:misc_RNA from 1 species
AUAAGGUGGGGUUAGUGA